CCUACGGGAGGCAGCAGUGGGGAAUCUUGCGCAAUGGGCGAAAGCCUGACGCAGCAACGCCGCGUGCGGGAAGAAGGCUUUCGGGCUGUAAACCGCUUUCAGCAGGAACGAAAAUGACGGUACCUGCAGAAGAAGGAGCGGCCAACUAUGUGCCAGCAGCCGCGGUGAUACAUAGGCUUCAAGCGUUGUCCGGAUUUAUUGGGCGUAAAGAGUUCGUAGGCGGUCGAGUAAGUCGGGUGUGAAAAUUCUGGGCUCAACCCAGAGACGCCACCCGAUACUGCUUAACUUGAGUUCGAUAGGGGAGUGGGGAAUUCCUAGUGUAGCGGUGAAAUGCGCAGAUAUUAGGAGGAACACCGGUGGCGAAGGCGCCACUCUGGAUCGAUACUGACGCUGAGGAACGAAAGCAUGGGUAGCAAACAGGAUUAGAUACCCUGGUAGUCCAUGCCGUAAACGGUGGGCACUAGGUGUGGGAUUCUAUUAACGAAUUCCGCGCCGUCGCUAACGCAUUAAGUGCCCCGCCUGGGGAGUACGGUCGCGAAGACUAAACUACGAAUGAAGUGCGNGNGUGNGAGCGAGACGAGAGAGG
rnacentral:rRNA from 1 species